CCUGGAUGCUUGCAUCCAGGGGUUGUAGGACUGAUGUUGAGUUACAAAGGUAUAAGAUAGCAGAAACAGUUGGGAAGCUGUUCCAAAGAGGGUGACAGGCCCGUAUGCGAAAUCUUGUACUCUCUAAUCAGGAUCCUGAGUACGGCCCAGCACGUGAAAUUGGGUCGGAAUCUGGGAGGACCAUCUCCCAAGGCUAAAUACUAACUAGUGACCGAUAGCGAACAAGUACCGUGAGGGAAAGGUGAAAAGAACCCCGGAAGGGGAGUGAAAUAGUUCUUGAAACCGUGUGCUUACAAGAAGUUCGAGGCCGUUAAUGGCUGAGAGCGUGCUUUUUGUAGAAUGAACCGGAGAGUUACGAUUGCGUGCAAGGUUAAGGUGCAAAGACUGGAGCCGUAGCGAAAGCGAGUCUUAAUAGGGCGAAUCAGUACGUAGUUGUAGACCCGAAACCGAGUGACCUAUCCAUGGUCAGGUUGAAGGUGGGGUAAUACCUACUGGAGGACCGAACAAGUGGGUGUUAAAAAACCCUUUGAUGAACUGUGGAUAGCGGUGAAAUUCCAAUCGAACUCGGAGAUAGCUGGUUCUAUCCGAAAUACAUUUAGGUGUAGCCUUGCAAUUAGCUUACUGGAGGUAGAGCACUAUUUGGUCUAGGGGCCCUUCAAGGGUUACCAAAAUCAGAUAAACUCCGAAUGCCAGCUAAGUAUGUGCAGGAGUCAGACGGUGAGUGAUAAGAUCCAUCGUCAAAAGGGGAACAGCCCAGAUCACCAGUUAAGGUCCCUAAAUAUAUGCUAAGUGGAAAACGUUGUGAAGGUGCAUAGACAACUAGGAGGUUGGCUCAGAAGCAGCCACCCUUUAAAGAGUGCGUAAUAGGUCACUAGUCG
rnacentral:rRNA from 1 species